rnacentral:rRNA from 1 species
UGCAGUCGAGGGGCAGCAUCAUCAAAGCUUGCUUUGAUGGAUGGCGACCGGCGCACGGGUGAGUAACACGUAUCCAACCUGCCGACAACACUGGGAUAGCCUUUCGAAAGAAAGAUUAAUACCGGAUGGCAUAGUUUUCCCGCAUGGGAUAAUUAUUAAAGAAUUUCGGUUGUCGAUGGGGAUGCGUUCCAUUAGGCAGUUGGCGGGGUAACGGCCCACCAAACCAACGAUGGAUAGGGGUUCUGAGAGGAAGGUCCCCCACAUUGGAACUGAGACACGGUCCAAACUCCUACGGGAGGCAGCAGUGAGGAAUAUUGGUCAAUGGACGAGAGUCUGAACCAGCCAAGUAGCGUGAAGGAUGACUGCCCUAUGGGUUGUAAACUUCUUUUAUACGGGAAUAAAGUGAGCCACGUGUGGCUUUUUGUAUGUACCGUAUGAAUAAGGAUCGGCUAACUCCGUGCCAGCAGCCGCGGUAAUACGGAGGAUCCGAGCGUUAUCCGGAUUUAUUGGGUUUAAAGGGAGCGUAGGCGGGUUGUUAAGUCAGUUGUGAAAGUUUGCGGCUCAACCGUAAAAUUGCAGUUGAUACUGGCGACCUUGAGUGCAACAGAGGUAGGCGGAAUUCGUGGUGUAGCGGUGAAAUGCUUAGAUAUCACGAAGAACUCCGAUUGCGAAGGCAGCUUACUGGAUUGUAACUGACGCUGAUGCUCGAAAGUGUGGGUAUCAA